rnacentral:rRNA from 1 species
UACGUAGGGGUGCGAGCGUUGUCCGGAAUUACUGGGCGUAAAGAGCUCGUAGGUGGUUUGUCGCGUUGUCCGUGAAAACUCACAACUCAAUUGUGGGCGUGCGGGCGAUACGGGCAGACUGGAGUACUGCAGGGGAGACUGGAAUUCCUGGUGUAGCGGUGGAAUGCGCAGAUAUCAGGAGGAACACCGGUGGCGAAGGCAGGUCUCUGGGCCACUACUGACGCUGAGAAGCGAAAGCGUGGGGAGCGAACAGG